AGGAUGCGGUUCUUCAGCGUCUGAUGCCAGCGCUCGAUUUUGCCCUGGGUCUGAUCUUUGGCACAGCCCAGAGCUUUGUUCUGCGCGAAAGCUAAACCACGAACAAAAGAAGGUCGUUUCUGUGNNNNGGGGAAGGAAAACUCAGAGACUUGGAUAUGGUUGCAACCCAUUGAAACCACUGGUGGGCCCGGCAGGACUCGAACCUGCAACCAGACCGUUAUGAGCGAGCCUACUAACCAAGCCGAUCAUGAUGAAUCAACGAGUUAGCGGAUACUCGACCACGUUUAUCUCUAUCUAUAGCGGUCGUUUCAUUGGCGAAACGUUGGCCGAAGUGCAUUAGUCCGAACUUCGCUUCCUCAGCUUCAAGAAACNAAUCGCAUAGGGCUCGGUAUCGAACCGUCGCACGGGAACUGGAUAUCGGGUUCGUGCCGCU
rnacentral:misc_RNA from 1 species